GUACACGCUGUGACUAGCAUAUCAAUAAGCGGAGGAAAAGAAACUAACAAGGAUUCCCCUAGUAACGGCGAGUGAAGCGGGAAGAAGCUCAAAUUUGAAAUCUUAAAGGGUUUCCCUUUACGAAUUGUAGUUUAAAGAAGUGUUUUCUGUUGAGGUUUUGGUAAAAGUUCUUUGGAAUAGGACAUCAUAGAGGGUGAGAAUCCCGUAUUUGACCUUUACUUUCAACUUUGUGAUACACUUUCAAAGAGUCGGAUUGUUUGGGAAUGCAGUCCAAAAUGGGUGGUAAAUUUCAUCUAAAGCUAAAUAUUGGCGAGAGACCGAUAGCGAACAAGUACCGUGAGGGAAAGAUGAAAAGAACUUUGAAAAGAGAGUUAAACAGUACGUGAAAUUGUCAAAAGGGAAGCGUUUGACACCAGUGUUGUUUUUCUGAAAAUCAAUUAAAGAACUGUUUAUGCUAAGCUGUUUAGACUUUAUCAGCUAUCUGUUUAGUUUUGAGCUUUUCUUUAAUGCACUUUUCAGUUAACAAGUCAACAUCAAUUUCUUUUGCUGUAAAAAAGCUUGAGGAAGGUGGCUUGAGAUUCGUCUUAAGUGUUUAUAGCCUCUUGCCUAUGCAGUCGGAGAGAUUGAGGUCUGCAGCGUAGAUCCUUCGGGGCUAAAUGCAUUUGUGCUAAGUUAUAGCAUUUUAUAGGACAACUUGUUGACUAUGAUUUGUCUUGUAGCUUACUCGCUUAUGUUAUUUUACCUACGCUUAGGAUGUUGAAGAUGUAGCACAUCAU
rnacentral:rRNA from 1 species